GUCCUACUUCCUGACUUGGGUGAUUGUUUCAAGGGUGUUUGUCUUACAAGUAAUUCAUUAAUUAAUAUGUUUAUUUUAUGCAAAUUUCCAUAUUUGUGUUUUAUUUUACAAUAAAAAAUGUUAAGAAGAAGAGGAAGAAGAGCAGGAGGAGAGAGAGGAAGAAGACAACAAGAACAAGAGCAAGAACAAAGCAGCUUAUGUAAAAUACUGACAGCUUACUGCAAUUUUACAGCAUUCCUCACAAGGUGGUUCAGAAUAGAUCCAGUGGACUGUAGUCUGUUUAACUGAGACCUCACACAUAAUGUCAUGGUUGACAGUUACUGGUUGAAGGAAAUCCAUGUUGGGCUUCUGUGGAUGCUGGAUUCUUUCCUUCUGAGAAGAAAUAUAACACACUGACUUUGAGGUGAUGGUGGAGAAAAAGUACAAGCAGAAGACUUUUCCCAACUUCUCCAUAGAAUGAAGAGGGAAUCUUUGAACUUGAUUACCAAGGAGAUGGGAUGAUAAAUCCAUCCAGCCACUCCAAGAAGCCAAGUUAAGGGUCACUGCCUUCUUGUCGAACUUGAAUCUGCCUUCAAUUUAUUAAUGGAUCUGGUUGGUGGCAUCCACUGUUUACCAAGAGCCUUUCUACAAUCCACACUACUGGACUAACGCUUUCCCCUACUUCACUCUACUCUCAAGGGAUGGAAGCACUGAUGAAGAGCACAGACAGAAUCAAGUGUACAUGCAGAACAUAUGGUAACCAUAUAAAGGGAUGAUGUCAAAAUUCUCAGCCUCCUUGCUCUUCAGUAUCUUCUUCCCCUUUACCUCGUCUGGAUGGUGUAUAAUGAAGAGGCACCUAGCGGUGCCUCCUGCCUCUAGAGUAAGAUUCAAGGGAGGAUAUAUAGGCUCCUCCAUAGGGUCAAGAGGUUUUCAAAGGCUGUGUUGUCCCAUCCAGCUACCAAAACAAGAGACAAAAUUGUGACCUGGAGUUGAAACUCUAGUGAGUGAUAAAGAGGGGAAGUUUCCUAAAGCAGAAGUUCUCAGUCUGGGGGCUAUCUGUGUGUUGUGUACUGAAUUUUGUGUCCUCCCAAAAUUCAGACGUUGAAGCCCUAGUCCCCAUUGUGGUUGUA